UACAGAGGUCUCAAGCGUUGUUCGGAUUCAUUGGGCGUAAAGGGUGCGUAGGCGGCGCGGUAAGUCGGGGUGUGAAAUCUCGGAGCUUAACUCCGAAACUGCAUUCGAUACUGCCGUGCUUGAGGACUGGAGAGGAGACUGGAAUUUACGGUGUAGCGGUGAAAUGCGCAGAUAUCGGGAGGAACACCCGUAGCGAAGGCGGCACUCUGGGCCGGAACUGACGCUGAGGAGCGAAAGCGUGGGGAGCAAACAGG
rnacentral:rRNA from 1 species